CCAUCAUUGUUGCCAGAUUGGCCAGAUUUCCCGCCCAAUCGAUUGGGUUUGAAAUCAGGCCAAAUCUGGCAACACUGAUGGUG
ensembl:miRNA gmo-mir-11279 gmo-mir-11279